GAUGAACGCUGACAGAAUGCUUAACACAUCAGCAAUUGAUUGGUGGCGGACGGGUGAGUAACGCGUAAAGAACUUACCUCACAGUUAGGGACAACAUUUGGAAACGAAUGCUAAUACCUAAUACUUUGAGAGAGCUUUGCGUCCCAUUAGCUAGUUGGGGUGGUAACGGCUCACUAAGGCGAGGAUGGGUAGCCGGCCUGAGAGGGUGAUCGGCUACAAGGGGACUGGGACACGGCCCGUACGCCUGCCGGAGGCAGCAGUGGGGAAUAUUGGACAAUGGACCAAAGUCUGAUCCAGACAUUCUGUGUGCACGAUGAAUUUUUCGGAAUGUAAAGUGCUUUCAGUUGGGAAGCGGUACCAACAGAAGAAGUGACGGCUAAAUACGUGCCAGCAGCCGCGGUAAUAG
rnacentral:rRNA from 1 species